UUCCGUGUACAGUGCUCGCAAAUGGACCAAACAUUCCCACUGCGCAGAAGGGACACAGUGACACAGAAGCCUGAUGUACAGAGCAUGGAUGAACGAUGGCCAGCACUUUUCACUGAGAGACAGGUUUUUGCAGAGUUUAAUCACAUCGCCAGUAAGAAUCUUGAAGGAGACUUCUAUGAAGCACUAAACCAACACACCACUCACUUGAUUGAUCUUUUCAA